CAGCAUCUGCCCGGAGAGAGGCAGUGCAAGGAUUCAGCUCACUGCUGCUGAACGGGCAAACUCCCAGGCCAAAGAGAAGAAUUGAAAAGCCUGUUUGGCUGAGGCAGCACACUGUUGUGCCACGCGGGCCGCCACAAAGACAGCCCAGGAGAUAUCAGCAGAUUAUUUACGGUGGUCAUUACCUGCAGCUUCCAGCACCUUCUGGCUAUCCAAACUUAGGGAGGAAAUUAGGGAGAUUAAUUCUUUCUUCAGUGAAAAGAUUAAUAACUCUAAUUAAUUGAGGGUAAGAAAACCAGAUUGCAGGGCAGUACUGAAAAAAUAAACUAUAGACCCCUAUACAGGAGCAAAAAAAUAAUGAUAAAGGACCCCGAGCACUUGGGAAUGAGAAGUGUACAGAAGUGGGCCAAAGUCACAAGCAAGCACUGGGGAGCAUACAGUGGGCAGCAAGCUGAUAAGAAGCUGAUAUGGAGGGAAGAGUUGCACCUGUCUGCAGCAGCUGCAAUGCAUGGGAGGUAAAUGGGAGGUAAAUAUCACCGGGAAGAGGUCUGUAUGAUAAAUUCCUGUAAAAUAAAUAACUAUUGCUCCUCUGAGCAUUUAGCCAAGCACAGUACACUUGCCUGGACACUCUCUCAGGAGUCUUGGUUAAAGCAAUGCAUCUUUAACAAGUCCUCGGCAUCCAAGAGCUGAUGAGAGCAGCCCAGUAACACCAGCCCCUGCAGGACAGGUUGCAGCAAGGGCAGUGCCACCAGGGGCUGCAGGGACAGUUUGUGCUGGGACAUUGCUACUGAUCGUGGCCAACAGCUUCUCGUUAGACAGGAAGGGGAGAGCCUUGACUUUUUCAGCCAGCUGUGGGCUACAUGGAGAAACAAUACUAGGAAAGAGAAAGGGAAAGCAUGUGACAGAAGGGUGAUUUCUGCGCAUGUGUAAAUCAAACCAAUUGAAAGCAGCUAGAACCAGAUUCUAACAUCAUUUUCAGCUUUAGUUGAGUUGAUUGGAAAGCCCCUUUUUCUCCUAACCCGAAUUUUAUUCUCUUUUUGGAGAGAAGAUUGUAGCAAAACACCAAGAGGUCAUGGGCCGUUACAGGUUUUUUAAGCAGGAGGUCAGUCUAGCUUCAAAUGUGAUGCUCCAUUCCCUGAGAUACUUCUUCCUCUUACAUAUCUCCUCUUUAAGAGAAGCCAGUGACUGGCUGUUGUGCACGGGGACAACUUCUGAUGCUGACCUUUACUGGCUGGCACCUGCCCAAUGAGGGCAGCAUCCUCAGCAUUUUCCAAAUGCCUGAGCUUGAGCAGCAUCCCUCUGGCUGGAUCUAUCAGCUCUACGUCAGAGCCCUGAGAAUGGUGGUGUGACAGCAAAUACGUGGUUUGAAAAUGUCUUUGGUGCUGCCCUGUUGUAUGAGUCGCAUUUGCUGAGGUGGCCUCAGAAGUGCCAAAGGGAAAGGUGCAUGAAUGCAGGAGCCAGGUGCUCGUAUCCAGAGUGGAGGAGUGCAGGAGUGCUGUUAGUGGGAAGGGAGAGGCUGUUGGUGAGAGGAGCAGAGAGCAACCCCUUCAGUGAGAUGAAGGCAGAGAGGGAACAAAUAUCACAGGAGUUUCACAGUGCUGUCAUGCUGCAGCUCUGCCCUCUGACCCCACCGCGCUGCCCUGUGCCUGCAGGCACUGCUUUGGGCUGAGCUGUGCAUCACAAGUGUGCCCGUGGGCUCAAAGCUCUGAGGCUGGGGUGCUGGGAUAUGCAGUUUCCCUGUGACACUUCUUCUUUCCUGUCUCCUCUUCAAGAGAAACUCUGAAAUAGAGAAAUCCCCUUGUCCUUACUGGGGACUUCAACUUGCUGGAUGUUAACUGAGAACACCACACAGCUGAUACAGGCCAGUCCAGGAGAUUCCUAAAACAGCUCCGUGACAAAAUCCUGGUGCAGAUACUAAAGGAGCUGACAAGGAAACCUGCCAUCCUGGAUCUGCUGUUUGUGAACAGAGAAGGUCUAGUGGAUGAUGUAGUGAUUGGUGGCCAUCUUGGCUAUAGUGAC
ensembl:lncRNA